rnacentral:lncRNA from 1 species
ACACAUCAGAGUGUGUUUAGUUCAUCUGGGCUGGUGAGUUCCAGUGAUGAAAGCCUGGUGCUAAUGGAGGCGAGGUCACCGGUUCAAUCCUCAUAGGACCCAGUUCACUUACAAGAGAAAAAACACUACUCAAGAACCAGAGACACCUCCUGACCCCAGUCACUGACCACAAGAAGGAUGGGGUGAAAACGAUGGCUGACCCAGGGCAAAACCAUCUGAUAAACAACUCAGACAGCACACCCCCAACCCCCAGCAGGAGAAGCCAGCACCUUCUAGUUUAAGGAUUUUAUAAAACCGCUUUUAUAAAAAUCCCUGCGGACAAGUUCACAGUAGCUGACUCCCCAAGAUGAGACGUGCUGCUUUAGGUACCCUCCAUGGGACAGAACUCUGCUUACAAACUUUAAAACUGGAUGAUGCAAAAAUUACCUGCACAGCAGAGGAGGACAACGAACCAUAGUAAGUUUAAGUGAUGGAUUCUUUAAUCUAUCAUUAAUUUGUACAGAUAAGUCAAAGAAAGGUAGUAGCAGAUACGGAGCCCUCGCCGUGUACGCAACGCUUGACAUCCUUUCUCACUGAGUCCCCACAGUAGACCUAGUGCUGCCAUUUUGCAGGUGAGAAAACUGAAAUGCCAUAUACGGUAGAGAUGGGAGUCGAAACUCCUACUUCCUUUUGAUAAAUCCAGGAUUCUUGCCUUAGUAAAAUGGACUGUUUUUUGAUUGCUGUUUUUUGCUUGUUUGUUUUGCCUUAAAACGCAAUAUAAAUAUAUAGAGUUAGCUCUCCAUUGUUACUUCUUUAUAAUUGAGAUCAAUAAGUACAUUAUUAUAAAAAUUAGGAGAAACAAUACACUGAUAUAAACAAUUACAAUGUCUCUGUUGUUUUUAAAUAAAAAAAAAAAAAACUGAUUUUGCUUUUAUCCAUAACAGAAAAGGUAAGUUUGUGGGCUGGCUUCUUAGAAAAGACUCAGAAUGGUUUACAUAAAUGUGUCCUUUGAAAUGCCUAAGUGCAAUAAUCAAAGAAAAUCGAAAAUUAAAUUUCCAUAUGAAAACUGAUCCAGUCAACUAAAAUUACUGCAAAGCUAAGGCAUCCAUCAUUACUUUGAGCAAAGGGCUAGUGCCCCCAAACCCACGUAUGAUUUUAUACACCCAUAGCUCCAUAUUCGGGGAUUUGGCUCAGCUGGUGGGUGCACGUGGCAAUAAAGAGGCCAGCCAACUCCACAGAGAGCUGCCAGGUUAACCCUGGGCUGUGGGCAGAGCUAAUAAAAAACAGGCACACCAGCCCAAACCCCAGACACACACAAAACCCAGCCUCAACUAUUUUAAUGUUUUCUUUCUUCUAUUUAUUUUUCCUGUUUUUUUCCUUUCUCCUUGUAAG